rnacentral:sRNA from 1 species
GCGGAGGAAAAGAAACCAACAGGGAUUGCCCUAGUAACGGCGAGUGAAGCGGCAACAGCUCAAAUUUGAAAUCUGGCGUCUUCGGCGUCCGAGUUGUAAUUUGCAGAGGGCGCUUUGGCAUUGGCAGCGGUCCAAGUUCCUUGGAACAGGACGUCACAGAGGGUGAGAAUCCCGUACGUGGUCGCUAGCCUUUACCGUGUAAAGCCCCUUCGACGAGUCGAGUUGUUUGGGAAUGCAGCUCUAAAUGGGAGGUAAAUUUCUUCUAAAGCUAAAUACUGGCCAGAGACCGAUAGCGCACAAGUAGAGUGAUCGAAAGAUGAAAAGCACUUUGGAAAGAGAGUUAAAAAGCACGUGAAAUUGUUGAAAGGGAAGCGCUUGCAGCCAGACUUGCCUGUAGUUGCUCAUCCGGGUUUCUACCCGGUGCACUCUUCUAUAGGCAGGCCAGCAUCAGUUUGGGCGGUUGGAUAAAGGUCUCUGUCAUGUACCUCCUCUCGGGGAGAACUUAUAGGGGAGACGACAUGCAACCAGCCCGGACUGAGGUCCGCGCAUCUGCUAGGAUGCUGGCGUAAUGGCUGUAAGCGGCCCGUCUUGAAACACGGACCAAGGAGUCUAACAUCUAUGCGAGUGUUUGGGUGUCAAGCCCGAGCGCGUAAUGAAAGUGAACGGAGGUGGGAACCUUUCGGGGUGCACCAUCGACCGAUCCUGAUGUCUUCGGAUGGAUUUGAGUAAGAGCAUAGCUGUUGGGACCCGAAAGAUGGUGAACUAUGCUUGAAUAGGGUGAAGCCAGAGGAAACUCUGGUGGAGGCUCGCAGCGGUUCUGACGUGCAAAUCGAUCGUCAAAUUUGGGCAU